GACGAACCUUUGCGGCGUGCUUAACACAUGCAAGUCGAACGAUGAAGCCUAGCUUGCUAGGUGGAUUAGUGGCGAACGGGUGAGUAAUACGUGAGUAACCUACCUUUAACUCUGGGAUAAGCCCGGGAAACUGGGUCUAAUACCGGAUACGACCAAUCUCCGCAUGGGGUGUUGGUGGAAAGCGUUAUGUAGUGGUUAUAGAUGGGCUCACGGCCUAUCAGCUUGUUGGUGAGGUAACGGCUCACCAAGGCGACGACGGGUAGCCGGCCUGAGAGGGUGACCGGCCACACUGGGACUGAGACACGGCCCAGACUCCUACGGGAGGCAGCAGUGGGGAAUAUUGCACAAUGGGCGCAAGCCUGAUGCAGCGACGCCGCGUGAGGGAUGACGGCCUUCGGGUUGUAAACCUCUGUUAGCAGGGAAGAAGAGAGAUUGACGGUACCUGCAGAGAAAGCGCCGGCUAACUACGUGCCAGCAGCCGCGGUAAUACGUAGGGCGCGAGCGUUGUCCGGAAUUAUUGGGCGUAAAGAGCUUGUAGGCGGUUUGUCGCGUCUGCUGUGAAGGCCGGGGCUUAACUCCGUGUAUUGCAGUGGGUACGGGCAGACUAGAGUGCAGUAGGGGAGACUGGAAUUCCUGGUGUAGCGGUGGAAUGCGCAGAUAUCAGGAGGAACACCGAUGGCGAAGGCAGGUCUCUGGGCUGUAACUGACGCUGAGAAGCGAAAGCAUGGGGAGCGAACAGGAUUAGAUACCCUGGUAGUCCAUGCCGUAAACGUUGGGCACUAGGUGUGGGGGACAUUCCACGUUUUCCGCGCCGUAGCUAACGCAUUAAGUGCCCCGCCUGGGGAGUACGGCCGCAAGGCUAAAACUCAAAGAAAUUGACGGGGGCCCGCACAAGCGGCGGAGCAUGCGGAUUAAUUCGAUGCAACGCGAAGAACCUUACCAAGGCUUGACAUAUACUGGACCGCAUCAGAGAUGGUGUUUCCCUUCGGGGCUGGUAUACAGGUGGUGCAUGGUUGUCGUCAGCUCGUGUCGUGAGAUGUUGGGUUAAGUCCCGCAACGAGCGCAACCCUCGUUCUAUGUUGCCAGCGCGUUAUGGUGGGGACUCAUAGGAGACUGCCGGGGUCAACUCGGAGGAAGGUGGGGAUGACGUCAAAUCAUCAUGCCCCUUAUGUCUUGGGCUUCACGCAUGCUACAAUGGCCGGUACAGAGGGUUGCGAUACUGUGAGGUGGAGCUAAUCCCUAAAAGCCGGUCUCAGUUCGGAUUGGGGUCUGCAACUCGACCCCAUGAAGUCGGAGUCGCUAGUAAUCGCAGAUCAGCAACGCUGCGGUGAAUACGUUCCCGGGCCU
rnacentral:rRNA from 1 species